UGGCGGUCUGCAGAUGUGUAGAUAGGUGAUUCUGCUAAGGCGCUUCUGGAGUCUUGCAUGGACUGGAACUUCCGGCUUUGGGUCCUGCUCCCACACCAGGUGUCCUACUCCAACAAUGAGGUCCCGGAGCCCCACAUGGGGUCACAGAGCUAGUGAUUUCUGCAAAAAGAAGCUGGGUAGGGGACCUCUAACAAUAUCGGAGAUGUAGUAUCCUGACUAAGCGAGAUCUGCGGGUCUGGCUGCACACCACCACCCCACAAUCACAGUUUAAGGAGAUCCUUCUGGUGACAAUAUGGCAGCCUGAAGAUAGCUACAACUGGACCCAUGAGUCUCUUGGAGAAAACAGUAAGGAUAAAUGGUAGUGAGGAGGAGGAUUCUGAGGUCCAUAGUGUAAGUGGAAAGCAGAAAAUGCUGUUCAGCUCAGGCCUAAAGGAGUUAAGCCAGGAGCCUCGUUCACCAAUGAAGACCAUCAAUCAUUCAAUCCAUCCUUGUCCCCCAUUCACCGAGAGGAGCUGGAAACGCUAAAGUGAAGUUUGCUAUUGUUUAGGGAAGAGUCAGCACAUAAAUAUGGCCAUUCAAGAGGCAUGCCUUUGAAAAAAGAAAUUGUUUUGCAAUAAAGAGAAGUAAUUAUUAUCAGAGCAAGAACCAUGAAAUAGCAGAUUGGAAAUAAAAUAUGCUUUUAUUAA